rnacentral:rRNA from 1 species
GGCAGCGGCGAACGGGUGAGUAACACGUUGGAACCUGCCCCGAACUCAGGGAUAACCCACCGAAAGGUGGGCUAAUACCGGAUGAUCCCGCAAGGGUAAAGAUUUUUCGGUUCGGGAGGGGCCUGCGGCCUAUCAGCCAGUUGGUAAGGUAACGGCUUACCAAGGCUACGACGGGUAACUGGUGUGAGAGCAUGACCAGUCACAAUGGAACUGCGACACGGUCCAUACUCCUACGGGAGGCAGCAGUGAGGAAUAUUCCGCAAUGGGCGAAAGCCUGACGGAGCGACACCGCGUGGAGGAUGAAGGCGUUUUCGUUGUAAACUCCUUUUCUGGGGGAAUCAAUGAUGAAGGUACCCCAGGAAUACGCACCGGCUAACUACGUGCCAGCAGCCGCGGUAAUACGUAGGGUGCAAGCGUCAUCCGGGAUCAUUGGGCGUAAAGCGUUCGAUAGUGGUUUGGAAAGUUGCGGUUAAUCCGGUCGCUCAACGAUCGAAUUGUCGCGAAAACUCCCAAACUUGAGAGUGGCAGAGGCAGCUAGAAUUCCGCAUGUAGGGGUAAAAUCCGUUGAUAUGCGGAGGAAUACCAAAAGCGAAGGCAAGUUGCUGGGCCAUCUCUGACGCUGAGGAACGAAAGCGUGGGGAGCAAACAGGAUUAGAUACCCCGGUAGUCCACGCUGUAAACAAUGGACACUCGGUGUAGGGAGGACUCGACCCCUCUCUGUGCCUAAGUUAACACGUUAAGUGUCCCGCCUGGGGAGUACGGUCGCAAGAUUAAAACUCAAAGGAAUAGACGGGGACCCACACAAGCGGUGGAGCAUGUGGUUCAAUUCGACAAUAAACGGGAAACCUUACCAAGACUUGACAUCCCGGGAAUCUUCUGGAAACAGGAGAGUGCC